GACGAACGCUGGCGGCGUGCCUAAUACAUGCAAGUAGAACGCUGAAGGAGGAGCUUGCUUCUCUGGAUGAGUUGCGAGCGGGUGAGUAACGCGUAGGUAACCUGCCUGGUAGCGGGGGAUAACUAUUGGAAACGAUAGCUAAUACCGCAUAAGAGUAGAUGUUGCAUGACAUUUGCUUAAAAGGUGCAAUUGCAUCACUACCAGAUGGACCUGCGUUGUAUUAGCUAGUUGGUGGGGUAACGGCUUACCAAGGCGACGAUACAUAGCCGACCUGAGAGGGUGAUCGGCCACACUGGGACUGAGACACGGCCCAGACUCCUACGGGAGGCAGCAGUAGGGAAUCUUCGGCAAUGGACGGAAGUCUGACCGAGCAACGCCGCGUGAGUGAAGAAGGGUUUCGGAUCGUAAAGCUCUGUUGUAAGAGAAGAACGAGUGUGAGAGUGGAAAGUUCACACUGUGACGGUAUCUUACCAGAAAGGGACGGCUAACUACGUG
rnacentral:rRNA from 1 species